rnacentral:tRNA from 1 species
AGCGAGGUGGGGAAGCCAGGAUUAUCCCGGCGGGCUCAUAACCCGCAGAUCGGUGAGGUUCAAAUCCACCCCUCGCUACCA